rnacentral:rRNA from 1 species
ACGGAAGGCAGCAGUGGGGAAUAUUGCACAAUGGGGGAAACCCUGAUGCAGCGACGCCGCGUGAGUGAAGAAGUUAUUCGUAAUGUAAAGCUCUAUCAGCAGGGAAGAAAAUGACGGUACCUGACUAAGAAGCCCCGGCUAACUACGUGCCAGCAGCCGCGGUAAUACGUAGGGGGCAAGCGUUAUCCGGAUUUACUGGGUGUAAAGGGAGCGUAGACGGUUCUGCAAGUCUGAUGUGAAAGGCAGGGGCCCAACUCCUGGACUGCAUUGGAAACUGUAGAACUAGAGUGCCGGAGAGGUAAGCGGAAUUCCUAGUGUAGCGGUGAAAUGCGUAGAUAUUAGGAGGAACACCAGUGGCGAAGGCGGCUUACUGGACGGUAACUGACGUUGAGGCUCGAAAGCGUGGGGAGCAAACAGGAUUAGAUACCCUGGUA